rnacentral:rRNA from 1 species
AGAGUUUGAUCCUGGCUCAGGAUGAACGCUGGCGGCGUGCUUAACACAUGCAGUCGAGCGAAGCGAUUUAAGGAAGUUUUCGGAYGGAAUUAAAUUGACUUAGCGGCGGACGGGUGAGUAACGCGUGGGUAACCUGCCUCAUACAGGGGGAUAACAGUUAGAAAUGACUGCUAAUACCGCAUAAGCGCACAGUGCUGCAUAGCACAGUGUGAAAAACUCCGGUGGUAUGAGAUGGACCCGCGUCUGAUUAGGUAGUUGGUGAGGUAAUGGCUCACCAAGCCGACGAUCAGUAGCCGACCUGAGAGGGUGACCGGCCACAUUGGGACUGAGACACGGCCCAAACUCCUACGGGAGGCAGCAGUGGGGAAUAUUGGACAAUGGGGGAAACCCUGAUCCAGCGACGCCGCGUGAGUGAAGAAGUAUUUCGGYAUGUAAAGCUCUAUCAGCAGGGAAGAAAAUGACGGUACCUGACUAAGAAGCCCCGGCUAACUACGUGCCAGCAGCCGCGGU